GAUGAACGCUAGCUACAGGCUUAACACAUGCAAGUCGCGGGGCAGCAUGGGGGUUGCUUGCAAUCCCCGAUGGCGACCGGCGCACGGGUGAGUAACGCGUAUCCAACCUGCCCUUCACCACGGGAUAACCCGGCGAAAGUCGGACUAAUACCGUAUGUUGUCCAUUGACGGCAUCCGAUUUGGACGAAAGGGUUGGCGGUGAAGGAUGGGGAUGCGUCCGAUUAGCUGGACGGCGGGGUGCCGGCCCACCGUGGCGACGAUCGGUAGGGGUUCUGAGAGGAAGGUCCCCCACACUGGAACUGAGACACGGUCCAGACUCCUACGGGAGGCAGCAGUGAGGAAUAUUGGUCAAUGGGCGUAAGCCUGAACCAGCCAAGUAGCGUGCAGGAUGACGGCCCUAUGGGUUGUAAACUGCUUUUAUGCGGGGAUAAAGUGGCCCACGUGUGGGUUUUUGCAGGUACCGCAUGAAUAAGGACCGGCUAAUUCCGUG
rnacentral:rRNA from 1 species